GCGUAACUAGUAACGGUAAUUUUUGUGUUUUGACUCGUCAGUCAUACUUUGAUUUUCUAAUAAACACAAUGAUUCAAUGUUCUAUGUAGUUAACAUUAACUCCAAUAUUUGAAGGUUCUCUCUGACCAUUUCUCUCCUUCCCUCUGGAUGUUCUUUCAUCAUUAUCAACUUGUAAUCAACGGAUCAAACAUCGGCAACCCAUAGACGUAGGCUACAAAAUGAUGAGGAAGAAAGAAUUUUGAGAAGAUAUAAACCUUGACGAUCAGCCAUCAGUUGUGAGAACGUCGGCCUCAAGCUUACCGAUCAGUCACUAGUAUUCAUCAUCGGCCUCAAGCUUACCGAUCAGUAGGGCUGUAAAAUGAACCGAACGAACUCGAACAAGGCCUUGUUCGUAUUCGUUUGUUAAGGAAAUAAAUGUGAUCACGAACGGUUUAUGCACACUUACCGAACGAGAUAUUAUGUUCGCAUUCGUUCAGUAAAGAAAUGAAUGUGUUCACGAAAACAAGUAAAAUUGGUGAAAGUGACAGAGGCUAGAGGUGGAUGGUAAAGGGAGUAGUGCUGGAACUUGAAUCCAUAAUUGUGAAAAGGAGAUUAAUAGUGUUCAUUGAUGUGAAUAUUGAGGAAGGAAAGGCAAAGAUGCAUAAACAAAGUGGGAAUAAGGUUUCCUAUUUUAAUUGUUAGGGUAAUAUAUAAAUAAAAAUUAAAAAAUAUAAAUAGUGUAGAUAACAUGAAUAAAAGUAUACAAAUCUUUCAUGAACAUAAAAAAACGAACAUGAACGAACGUUCACGAACAUGUUCACCAACAUGUUACUGAACAUUCACCAACACAAUUGAACGAACGAGACAUGUGUUCAUGUUCAUUCAUUUAGCUUAUCGAACGAAAAUUUUUGUAUGUGUUCAUUCAUUUAUUAAACAAAUGAACGUAAACGAACUUCCUGCCGAACUGUUCGUUGAACAUUCGGUUCAUUUACAGCCCUAUUGUCAGACACCAGCAUUCAUCGUCAGCCUCAAGUUUACCGAUCAGACACUAGCAUUCAUUGUCGGCCUUAGGCUUACCGAUUGGUGAGUAGUACAACUUUAUACGGAGGCAUAUGAUCAGUGGGAUAUAUCAUAUUUGGAAACGAUGUUAAACACGGAGGCAUAAGAUCAGUGGGAUAUAACAUAUUUGGAAACGAUGUUAAACAGUCAUUCACGAACAACCUACUAUUAAGUAUAAACUGGUUUUACGUAGCAAUCGUUUGCUCCGUGAUUAACCAAGGGAUAACAUACCUUUUGAAUAUGGCAUCGGUUAUAAAAAAAUCUGAUAUGUUGACACUGGAGGACUGGGGGAGCCAUCAUCAUUACAAAUUCAUCAUUAAAACAUUGCUGGUGUUAGUCACUUUGGUAUUCAUUAUAGUGGACGACAUAGUUGACCAACUAUACGUCAAAAUCAUAUCGUUAACUGGAGCGAUCAUUGGUGCGAUGCUGGCCCUUAUCAUUCCAAUGUUCUGCUUCCUUCAUAUCAAUCCCACAAACUUAUUUCUUAGCUAGGCUAUUUGGAAUACUUAUAAUUCAUUUUUAUUUUGUUGAGGCCCUUAUCAUUCCAAUGUUCUGCUUCCUUCAUAUCAAUACCACAAACCUAAGUGAGUUACAUAGACGAAAUAUCUACCUGAUUGUUGGCUUGGGAUUUCUAGGAGCAGCAUUUACCGUAUUUCAAAGCAUAAAAGACAUGAUUUGAGAUGUUUGUCACUUUUUGUUUUCAUCUAGCAUUUGGAGAGAAUGAGACUAUUUUUAGGUUAUAUUUGUUUACAUUGAGAUACUUUCGUUGAACUCAUGACCAUGAUAUGUGCAUGCAAACUGAUGUUUAGGCUUAAGUUAUGGACUUGACCUAGGUGAGUAUACUUGUGACUUCACAUACGUAUCACCCUUUUCGUGUAUUUAAAUCCAUUUCGUCCCAAAAAUAGUCCACACCGAAUAUUAAUUCGGUUUUUUGAGAUCCAACACGGCAGGUUGUAUAUUUGGAAAAUGCGUGUUCAUAAACACCGGGUUUCUUUUUAGCUGCCUUAUAAGCCUUUAGUGAUUUUUCUUGAAUCCUAUACCAUUAUCUCGCAUAAUCAAAAGCUCAUCUUGCAUCAAUUCAACGCCUAGCAGCCUAGGCGCACACCUGGCUCACCUUUACCUGCAUAGUAUAGACUCUUACAUGUUGAGUUUCAGAAAA